rnacentral:rRNA from 1 species
AUUGAACGCUGGCGGCAGGCUUUACACAUGCAAGUCGAACGAGUGGCGGACGGGUGAGUAAUAUAUGGGCACCUGCCUAAUAGAGGGGGAUAACUACUGGAAAGGGUAGCUAAUACCGCAUCACAUCGGAUGUGCCAAGAGGGGAUUAGCUAGUAGGUGGGGUAAUGGCUCACCAAGGCGACGAUCCCUAGCUGGUCUGAGAGGAUGACCAGCCACACUGGGACUGAGACACGGGCCAGACUCCUACGGGAGGCAGCAGUGGGGAAUGUUGGACAAUGGGGGAAAGCCUGAUGCAGCCAGCCCGCGUGUAGGAAGAAGGCCUUCGGGUUGUAAAGCACUUUCAGCGGGGAGGCGGUAUCCGCAGAAGAAGCACCGGCUAACUCCGUGCCAGCAGCCGCGGUAAUUC